GAAUGUCAAAUUUCUAGUAUGAGAAAUUAACGAUUUAAGUCCUUCUUAAAUGAGGCCAUUUACCCAUAGAGGGUGCCAGGCCCGUAUAACGUUAAUGAUUACUAGAUGGCAUUUCCAAAGAGUCGUGUUGCUUGAUAGUGCAGCACUAAGUGGGUGGUAAACUCCAUCUAAAACUAAAUAUAACCAUGAGACCGAUAGUAAACAAGUACCGUGAGGGAAAGUUGAAAAGAACUCUGAAUAGAGAGUUAAAUAGUACGUGAAACUGCUUAGAGGUUAAGCCCGAUGAACCUGAAUAUCCAAUAUAGAAAAUUCAUCAUUAUGAUUUUAAUAUUUUCAAUAUUAUAAUAAUGGUGUGCAUUUUUUCUAUAAAGGACAUUGUAAUCUAUUAACAUCAAUAAAAUUUAUCAAAAGAUCGAUUGCACAAGUUUAUUUCAAUUAUUUUGCUUGCAAUUUAACAUAGAAUAAAUGCUUUUGAUUUGAUAAAGUGUUGAUAGAUUUAUAAAAUAUAGUGCUGGAAUAUUUAUAUUCUAUAAUAGCAUAUUAAUUAUUAAUUUUUAUGUUUGUUAUAUGCACUUAUAUGAUUUACAAUGCGAAAGAUUCAGGAUACCUUCGGGACCCGUCUUGAAACACGGACCAAGGAGUCUAACAUAUUUGCAAGUUAUUGGGAAUAAAAACCUAAUAGCGAAAUUAACAUAACUUAUAUAUUAAUGGGAUUAGUUUUUAGCCUUAUAUAUAGUCUAUUAAUUCAAUCCCGGGGCGUUCUAUACAGUUAUGUAUAAUAGUAUUUAUAUUAUUUAUACCUCUAACUAGAACGUACCUUGAGCAUAUAUGCUGUGACCCGAAAGAUGGUGAACUAUACUUGAUCAGGUUGAAGUCAGGGGAAACCCUGAUGGAAGACCGAAACAGUUCUGACGUGCAAAUCGAUUGUCAGAAUUGAGUAUAGGGGCGAAAGACCAAUCGAACCAUCUAGUAGCUGGUUCCCUCCGAAGUUUCCCUCAGGAUAGCUGGUGCAUUUAAAAAUUAUGUAAAAUAAUCUUAUCUGGUAAAGCGAAUGAUUAGAGGCCUUAGGGUCGAAACGAUCUUAACCUAUUCUCAAACUUUAAAUGGGUAAGAACCUCACCUUUCUUGGUAUGAAGGUUGUGGUUGUGAUAUAAUGUGCCCAGUGGGCCACUUUUGGUAAGCAGAACUGGCGCUGUGGGAUGAACCAAACGUAAUGUUACGGUGCCCAAAUUAACAACUCAUGCAGAUACCAUGAAA
rnacentral:rRNA from 1 species